UCCAAUCACUGCCUGAGUUUCAGACACUGCCUCCUCCCUUUUUUGCACCAGGUGCACCAACCACCAGGAAAUUCCACCAAUUUUACACAUCAAGAUGAGUUUACUACUCAUGAUGAGUAAUACUCAGCCUGUGAAAUCAGCACUAUAAUGCCUUAUGGCUCUGGAAUAGCAUCUUUUAAAAGCCUGAGGAAUAACUGCUAGUUGUUUCGCAAAUAUCUCUUCAGACUACAGAAAGCUGCAUUACACACGUUUUGAAAAGUGUGUUUGGUUGGUAAACUCUCCUCUGAUAUCACCAAAUAUCACUAAAUAAUAUUUGUGUUACAGAUUGCUGAGAAAGAUUUUAAGUGCAAAGAAGGCAUAAAAGUUAUUUUCAGUUCUCCUGUACUGACCAAGUAUUUCUUCAUCAUAACUGACAUGCAGCAGCAGCAGGCAGCUGUUUUCAGCUUCACAGCAGAAGGUCCUUGCAUGUUACAUGUUACACAUACCCGUCACACUCUUCGGGAGCCUCACACUGGUCAGUGAUGUAUUUUGUUUCCUGUUUCCUGAGAUGAGCAGAAAAGAGCUUCCUGACUCAACUGAGGAGAUCAAGAACAACAGAAAUGGGACCUCCACAAACACAGCAAGUUGUCCAAAUCCAGAUUCAACUAAGCUGUAGACAUGUUUCUGAGAUGUGUUCAAAAUGCACAAUGACAACACAUCAAUAGACCA